UAUCAAAUUCCAGAGCAUGCGCUUUUUACAUAGCUCUAAAUAGCUGACUUCCUGUUGGGCGGAGCCUAUGACAUGCAAUACAAAAGUUGUUCGGCACGAUGAGAUCUAUAAGUGUACUGAGUUAUAUAUGAACACGUGCAAGUAUGUGUGAGCUAUACAUCAACAUUUCUGACUGUGUUCCAGGGGGCGCUGUAGAGCCCCUGUGCCACGCCCGUGUAUCAGUCUCUGCCCGGCCCUAAUGGCCGCAGAUUCCAAGGUGUGUGCCAAUUUUCAAGAGUUUUUGAGCAUGUUAAGGGCCCCAAAAGCCCCCGAAACCUUGGAAAAAAAUUAGAAGAAUAAAAAAAAUAUAUAGCUGCAAGCAGCAAUGGCGGGCUCAAGCCAUCAGUGCAAACGCCACCCCUGUGGCAUCGGGAAAACUGUGCCCACCUGGCACAUGCAUUUACAGUAACUCUCUGGCAGUCUGGUUUUAAAGGAUUUGGCAAUUAAAGGGUUAAUCCAAACCAUCAAGACUGUGAAAGACACACACAAAUAACAAUAUAUAAAACUUUAGUAAC
ensembl:lncRNA